UACAGAGGUCCCAAGCGUUGUUCGGAUUCACUGGGCGUAAAGGGUGCGUAGGUGGUGAUGUAAGACAGUUGUGAAAUCCCCGGGCUCAACCUGGGAACUGCAUCUGUGACUGCAUUGCUGGAGUGCGGCAGAGGGGGAUGGAAUUCCGCGUGUAGCAGUGAAAUGCGUAGAUACUGGGAGGAACACCAGUGGCGAAGGCGGCUACCUGGACCGGUUCUGACGCUGAGGCGCGAAAGCGUGGGUAGCAAACAGG
rnacentral:rRNA from 1 species